UUGCUUGCUUCGGCAACACAUAUACUAUAAUUGGAACAAUACAGAGAAGAUCAUCAUGACCCCUGUGCAAAGAUGACAUGCAAAUUUGUGAAGUAUUUCAUAUUUUU
ensembl:snRNA U6 U6 spliceosomal RNA